rnacentral:rRNA from 1 species
ACACGUAGGGGGCGAGCGUUGUCCGGAAUUACUGGGCGUAAAGGGUGCGUAGGCGGUCUGUUAAGUCAGAUGUGAAAGACCCGGGCUCAACCCGGGAUGUGCAUCUGAGACUGGCGGACUUGAGUGCAGGAGAGGGAAGUGGAAUUUCUAGUGUAGCGGUGGAAUGCGUAGAUAUUAGGAAGAACACCAGUGGCGAAGGCGGCUUCCUGGACUGUAACUGACGCUGAGGCACGAAAGCGUGGGGAGCAAACAGGAUUAGAUACCCUGGUAGUCCACGCUGUAAACGAUGGAUACUAGGUGUAGGUAUCGUAGGAUAUCUGUGCCGGAGUUAACGCAAUAAGUAUCCCGCCUGGGGAGUACGGCCGCAAGGUUGAA